rnacentral:rRNA from 1 species
ACGAACGCUGGCGGCAGGCUUAACACAUGCAAGUCGAACGGCUGUAGCAAUACAGCAGUGGCAGACGGGUGAGUAACACGUGGGAACCUUCCUAGGGGUACGGAACAACUCAGGGAAACUUGAGCUAAUACCGUAUACGCCCCCGGACUUGAUCCGGGGGGAAAGAUUCAUCGCCCCUAGACGGGCCCGCGUCGGAUUAGGUAGUUGGUGGGGUAACGGCCUACCAAGCCUACGAUCCGUAGCUGAUCUGAGAGGAUGAUCAGCCACACUGGGACUGAGACACGGCCCAGACUCCUACGGGAGGCAGCAGUGGGGAAUCUUGGACAAUGGGCGCAAGCCUGAUCCAGCCAUGCCGCGUGAGUGAAGAAGGCCUUAGGGUUGUAAAGCUCUUUUACCAGGGACGAUAAUGACGGUACCUGGAGAAUAAGCCCCGGCAAACUUCGUGCCAGCAGCCGCGGUAAUU